rnacentral:rRNA from 1 species
AUUGAACGCUGGCGGCAGGCCUAACACAUGCAAGUCGAGCGGAGCGGCGGACGGGUGAGUAUUGCCUAGGAAUCUGCCUGGUAGUGGGGGAUAAUGUCCGCUAACGGGAGCUAAUACCGCAUCCUAUCAGAUGAGCCUAUGGCGGAUUGGCUAGAUGGUGGGGUAAUGGCCUACCAAGGCGACGAUCCGUAACUGGUCUGAGAGGAUGAUCAGUCACACUGGAACUUAGACAGUGUCCAGACUCCUACGGGAGGCAGCAGUGGGGAAUAUUGGACAAUGGACGAAAGCCUGAUCCAGCCAUGCCGCGUGUGUGAAGAAGGUCUUCGGAUUGUAAGGCACUUUAAGUUGGGAGGCGUUACCCCCAGAAUAAGCACCGGCUAACUUCGUGCCAGCAGCCGCGGUAAUAC